UAAAAACAAACAUCCAGUCAGCAUCAUGGUGUGAGGAGUGAUCAUGAGUGAUAGCGAAGUUAUGCCUUCAUUCAACUUCCCACACGGCCUCACACUCAACACGGAGGCCUACAUUAAGUGCCUGGAAGAGGUAGUACUGCCCUAGGUCAAGACGGUGGCUGCUGCAAGACCCUAUGUCUGGCAAUAGGACUCUGCACCAUGCCACACAAGCAGGAGAACCUAGUCAUGGCUGUCAGACAAUUUCUGGGACCACAUCACCCCUAACAUCUGGUCACCUAAUUCCCCACACUGCAAACUCCUUGAUUAUUAUGUGUGGGGAACAGCUGAGUGAGAGACCAACAAAACUCCUUGUAACACCAAAGAUGAACUAAAGGCAAGGAUUAUGGCAGCAUUCACCAACUUAAACAAGGAGACCGUCCAGAAGAGUUGCAGGAGAUUCCGAAGUCGGCUGGAGGCCUUGGUUGAAGCCAAUGGCGAUUUCAUUGAAUAAAUUUACUCUUUAGUAUUUCAAGAUAUUUUUAUGUAAUUUUAGUAAAUAACAUCUGUUAAAAUAAGAUGUCAGUGUUAUUUUCAUUUUUGCGUAAUCCUGACGACAAUAUAUUCACGGCACGCUGUAUAUAUAUUAAUAUAUAUAUAUAUAUAUAUAUAUAUAUAUAUAUAUAUAUAUAUACAUGUAUGUGUGCGUGCAUGUGUGUUUAUCAUUCAUCACAACUUGACAACCAGUUUCGAUGUGUUUAUGUCCAGUAACUUAGAAGCAAAAGAGACCCGAUAAACUAUGUACCAGGCUUAAGAAAAAAAGUAACGGGUCGAUUCGUUUGACUAAAAAUUCUUUAAAGGCGGUGCCCCAGCAUGGCGGCAGUCUAAUGACUGAAAUAAGGAAAAGAUAACCGGAAGAAAUGUCGCUAAGCAUUUUAUCCGAAACGCAACAGAUUCCGCAAACUCGGCAUCUUACUACCACUACUGCUGCUGCUGCUGCGACUACUACUACUACUACUACUACUACUACCACUACUAAUACUACUACUGCUGCUGCUGCUGCUGCUGCUGCUACUUUUAUAAGCAGAUGAAAGGCGAAGUGAGAUUAUAGGAAAGUGUCCAUUAUAGAUAGUAUAUAUGUGUGUGUGUGUGUGUGUGUGUGUGUGUGUGUGUGUGCGUGAGAAAUGAGAUCUUGGCGAAAAAAUGCCGCUAAAUGAGAAGUAAACAGGUACCAUGUGUUAAAUUAAAGAAUAUAUUUGUAUUUGAAGCUAUCUGACCUUAUCUCACACCUAACAACUACCAGCGCCCUCACACACACACACACACACACUCACACACACACACACACACACACACACACACACACACCUAUAUACACGCACGCACACAUACACACAUGCACACUUACGCAGCCUCGUACUGAUAAGGCGGAAUGGAAACCCCAGGUAAGAAAAAUAAUGUGGGUGAAGACAUAUGUAGAUUGUUUUUCUAAGGAGUUUUGCGUUUCUCUGUAAUUUGGUCUGUUUUUCGUGCGUUGAUGUGUGUGUUGUGUGUGUUUGUGCGUGUGUGUGCGAGUGUGUGUGAGUCUGUGUUUGUAUGUGUGUGUGAGUGUGAGUGUGUGUAUGUGUGUGAGUGUGUGUAUGUGUGUUUGUGUGUGAGUAUGUGUGUGUGUGUGUGUGUGUGUGUGUUUGUGUGUGUGAGUGUUUGUGUGUAUGUGUGUGUGUGUGUGUGUGUGUGUGUGUGUGUGUGUGUGUGUGUGUGUUUGUGUGUAUGUGUGUGAGUGUGUGUGUGUGUGUGUGAGAGUAUGUGUUUGUGUGUAUGUGUGUGUGUGAGAGUAUGUGUGUGUGUGUGUGUUUGUGUGUGUGUGUAAGUGUGUAUUUGUGUGUGUGUGUUUGUGUGUAUUUGUGUGUUUGUGUGUGUUUGUGUGUAUUUGUGUGUGUGUGUGUGUUUGUGUGUGUUUGUUGUGUGUGUAUUUGUGUUGUGUGUGUAAGUGUGUGUGUGUGUGUGUUUGUCUAGCGUUAACGUAUCUCUACUUCGUAGAUCUUUACAUACCUCAAUUGAAUUCCAGCGUGGAGCCUGGAGCGUACACGUACGUUCAUUCAGAGUUAAUAAACACACAGAGGCACACACACACACACACACACACACACACACACACACACACACACACACACACACACACACACACACACACACACACACACACACACACACACACACACACACACACAUUUUGUAUGGAUGCUUGUUUUGUGUAUUGAAUUAACAGCUCCGAUUUAAACAUUCCUCAACAAUAAACGUUUGUAAACAACGAAUUAAGACUUUAAACUCUAACUUUACAAAGGUGUAAGGUUUGAAUUUGUUUAGAUUAGAAACCUCAGCCGUUAAUUCGGAGCCUAUUUAUAUGCAGGUGCGAGUUGAAACUGGUCGUGGGUGUAUAUAUGAGAGGGUGUAUGAGUUUGGUCGGACCAACAGGAUAAAUAGAAUUCAAAACAUUAACGUAUAUAUAUAUAUAUAUAUAUAU
rnacentral:lncRNA from 1 species